UUUGUUUUCAAAUAUUAGAGGGCGCUACUGUUAUUUUAAAUUUGUAACGGAAAAAUGGUGAGUAACGUCUUACUACUUUUAUUGACGGGAGAAUUUCUUUUUAGUUGUAAAACGGUGUAAACGUUCACCCCGGUCAUUAGGAAAUGAAGAACUUUCACUGGAAGAAGCGAAAAUCAUAACAGCAACGACAUUGAAUUCAAGGAAGGAACGUGGAUUUUUUUCAAGUAAAUAUUUGUCAACACUCGUCUUAAGUAUUGGGAAAUAUCGUUUGUAUAUUUAAAAUAUGUUUCUUGCGGGCACCCAACAUCUAUCCCGAAGAAUAUCUGUGAAAAAGUACAAGAAUGGAAGAAGGAACUGAAUGUUUACUUCGGAGAAAAUGGAUUUCAAAUGAAAACGAUUCAUCUGUCUACAGAUUUACUGAAAAAUUGUGUCGAUGAAUUAACAUGAACAUGUUUUGUCAACACGCUGCCAAGAUUGUUUUAAACAUUUGUUUUGUAUUUUUACCUUUUUGUAAUGCAAACGUGGGGUUGUUUGUUAGAUAUAUUAUUUAUGUUUGAAUUUAGAUUUAUUUGUUAUGUUAUUGUGAAGCGUUUAUGUCAAGAAAUGCAGAAUUAAUAUUUGCUGCGUAUCUUUGCAGUAAUUAAUACGAUCGAUUAAUUUUCAACAAUAAAGUUUAAUAUUUUGUGUUUCGUAGAUUUCGCCGAUACGAAGAAGAGGAAGUUUGUGUGUGAAAACUGUGGUAUAGGAUUCUCUCGGAAGUACGGCUU